UACAGAGGUGGCAAGCGUUGUUCGGAAUUACUGGGCGUAAAGGGCUCGUAGGCGGCCAACUAAGUCAGACGUGAAAUCCCUCGGCUUAACCGGGGAACUGCGUCUGAUACUGGAUGGCUUGAAUCCGGGAGAGGGAUGCGGAAUUCCAGGUGUAGCGGUGAAAUGCGUAGAUAUCUGGAGGAACACCGGUGGCGAAGGCGGCAUCCUGGACCGGCAUUGACGCUGAGGAGCGAAAGCCAGGGGAGCAAACAGG
rnacentral:rRNA from 1 species